AGUGGCCGUUACAAUGGGAAGCUACAUCGCGAGGUGAUGCCAAUCCCUGUAAAAGCGGCCAUGGUUCCGGAUUAGCAGGCUGCAACUCGCCUGCAUGAAGAUGGAAUCGCUAGUAAUCACUGAUCAGCAUGCAGUGGUGAAUACGUUCCCGGGUCUU
rnacentral:rRNA from 1 species